CCUACGGGAGGCAGCAGUGAGGAAUAUUGGUCAAUGGGCUUACGCCUGAACCAGCCAAGUCGCGUGAGGGAAGACUGCCCUAUGGGUUGUAAACCUCUUUUGUCAGGGAGCAACGCCGGCUACGUGUAGCCGGACUGAGAGUACCUGAAGAAAAAGCAUCGGCUAACUCCGUGCCAGCAGCCGCGGUAAUACGGAGGAUGCGAGCGUUAUCCGGAUUGAUUGGGUUUAAGGGGUGCGUAGGCGGAAUGCCAAGUCAGCGGUAAAAUCGCGGGGCUCAACCUCGCUCCGCCGUUGAAACUGGCGUUCUUGAGUGGGCGAGAAGUAUGCGGAAUGCGUGGUGUAGCGGUGAAAUGCAUAGAUAUCACGCAGAACUCCGAUUGCGAAGGCAGCAUACCGGCGCCCAACUGACGCUGAAGCACGAAAGCGUGGGUAUCGAACAGGAUUAGAUACCCGUGUAGUC
rnacentral:rRNA from 1 species